rnacentral:misc_RNA from 1 species
GAUGAAGAACGUAGCGAAAUGCGAUAAGUAAUGUGAAUUGCAGAAUUCCGUGAAUCAUCGAAUCUUUGAACGCAUAUUGAGCCCUCUGGUAUUCCGGGGGGCAUGCCUGUCCGAGCGUCAUUGCUGCCCUCAAGCACGGCUUGUGUGUUGGGCCUCCGUCCUCCUCCCGGGGGACGGGCCCGAAAGGCAGCGGCGGCACCGCGUCCGGUCCUCGAGCGUAUGGGGCUUCGUCACCCGCUCUUGUAGGCCCGGCCGGCGCUUGCCGACACAUCAAUCUUUUUUCCAGGUUGACCUCGGAUCAGGUAGGGAUACCCGCUGAACUUAAGCAUAUCAAUAAGCGGAGGA